GGAAACGCGAGUGAGGCCUUGGUCCCAUGAAAAGCCGCAGAGAUGACCGUACCAAGAACUGACACAGGUACCCAAGGUGAGCAGCCUAAGGUGUGACGGGCAAAGUAUCGUGAAGGAACUCGGCAAAAUCGCUCUGUAACUUCGGGAGAAGGAGUGCCAGCUCUGAAGAGAGCUGGUCGCAGUGACCAGGGGACUCCGACUGUUUAAUAAAAACAUAGGCGACUGCUAGAUCGAAAGGUUGUGUAUAGUCGCUGAAUCCUGCUCAGUGCAGGUAUCUGAAAUCGGGUUUCAACCUGACGAAGGACCUGUAAACAGCGGGGGUAACUAUGACCCUCUUAAGGUAGCGUAAUACCUUGUCGCUUAAUUGGCGACUUGCAUGAAUGGCCCAACGAGAGUCCCACUGUCUCCACGAUACGUCCGGCGAAAUUGACAUUACUGGCGCACAGUCCAGUACCUUCAACCUGCAAGCGAAGACCCCAUAGAGCUUUACUGCAGCCUGGCGCUGUGCAGUCGCACUCCACGUGCUGAGUAGACGGGAGGCAUCGAUACCCGGGACGCCAGUCCUGGGAGGAGCCACACAUAGAGACACCGUCCUUGGAGUGUAACUGCACUUACUCCUACGGAGGACACCGUUUGGUGGGCAGUUUGGGUGGGGCGCCACGCGCUCGAAAACAUAACAAGCGUGCCCAAAGGUCAGCUUAGGUGGUUCAGUCUCCACCGUUAACCGUAAGGGGAAAAGCUGGCUUGACUUGGAUCGGAUCAAUAACGAUCGAAGAUGCGAAAGCACGGCCUAACGAACCAACGUGCCUCAUUUCUGGGGGCCGUUGAUAACAGAAAAGUUACCUUGGGGAUAAUUGAGUUGUCACCAGCAAGAGCACAUAUCGACCUGGUGGCUUGCUACUUCGAUGUCGUCUCUUCCCAACCUCCCGGUGCAGCAGCUGGGAAGGGUGGGGUUGUUCGCCCAUUAAAGGGGAUCGUGAGAUGGGUUUAGACCGUCGUGAGACAGGUUUGUUGCUUUGCGGUUGAAGCGCGUAAGAUGCCUGAUCGGAAGGGCCCUUUAGUACGAGAGGAACGAGGGCUCGGAGCCACUAGUUUACCAGUUGUCCGGCAGGGCAAUGCUGGGUAGCCACGCUCCAAUGGAUAAGAGCUGAAAGCAUCUAAGCUCGAAGUCAUCCGAAAGACGAGGCAUCUCAGGGGACUCGUAAAAGACGAGUUUGAUAGACAGCGGGUGUAAGCACCGAGGUUCGCCGAGGUGUUCAGCCCAGCUGCACUAACCCCCCGAGCAAUCUGA
rnacentral:rRNA from 1 species